rnacentral:rRNA from 1 species
CGGGUGAGUAACACGUGGGCAACCUGCCUGUAAGACUGGGAUAACUACGGGAAACCGGGGCUAAUACCGGAUAAUUCUUUCCCUCACAUGAGGGAAAGCUGAAAGAUGGUUUCGGCUAUCACUUACAGAUGGGCCCGCGGCGCAUUAGCUAGUUGGUGAGGUAACGGCUCACCAAGGCGACGAUGCGUAGCCGACCUGAGAGGGUGAUCGGCCACACUGGGACUGAGACACGGCCCAGACUCCUACGGGAGGCAGCAGUAGGGAAUCUUCCGCAAUGGACGAAAGUCUGACGGAGCAACGCCGCGUGAGUGAUGAAGGUUUUCGGAUCGUAAAACUCUGUUGUUAGGGAAGAACAAGUACCGGAGUAACUGCCGGUACCUUGACGGUACCUAACCAGAAAGCCACGGCUAACUACGUGCCAGCAGCCGCGGUAAUACGUAGGUGGCAAGCGUUGUCCGGAAUUAUUGGGCGUAAAGCGCGCGCAGGCGGUUCCUUAAGUCUGAUGUGAAAGCCCCCGGCUCAACCGGGGAGGGUCAUUGGAAACUGGGGAACUUGAGUGCAGAAGAGAAGAGUGGAA